AACGAACGCUGGCGGCGCGCUUAAUACAUGCAAGUCGAACGAGAAGGUGUAGCAAUACACUUGUAAAGUGGCGAACGGGUGAGGAAUACAUGGGUAACCUACCCUCGAGUGGGGAACAACCAGCCGAAAGGUUGGCUAAUACCGCGUACGCUUCCGGGUCUUCGGAUUCGGAAGGAAAGUCAUACCGUGGGUAUGACGCUCAAGGAUGGGCUCAUGUCCUAUCAGCUUGUUGGUGGGGUAACGGCCACCAAGGCUCCGACGGGUAGCUGGUCUGAGAGGACGAUCAGCCACACUGGCACUGCGACACGGGCCAGACUCCUACGGGAGGCAGCAGUAAGGAAUAUUGCGCAAUGGGCGAAAGCCUGACGCAGCGACGCCGCGUGGGGAGUGAAGGUCUUCGGAUUGUAAACCCCUUUCGGGAGGGAAGAUGGAACGAGCAAUCGUUCGGACGGUACCUCCAGAAGCAGCCACGGCUAACUUCGUGACAGCAGCCGCUGUAAU
rnacentral:rRNA from 1 species